UACGUAGGGUGCAAGCGUUGUCCGGAAUUAUUGGGCGUAAAGAGCUCGUAGGCGGUCUGUCACGUCGGCUGUGAAAACCCGAGGCUCAACCUCGGCCUGCAGUCGGAGUACGGGCAAACUAGAGUACUGCGAGGGGAGACUGGAAUUCCUGGUGUAGCGGUGAAAUGCGCAGAUAUCAGGAGGAACACCGGUGGCGAAGGCGGGUCUCUGGGCAGUAACUGACGCUGGAGGAGCGGAAAAGCGUGGGGAGCGAACAGG
rnacentral:rRNA from 1 species